CCAACGGCUCUUUUCAGAGCCACUUAAUUUGUCAUAGAAAGCAGCU
rfam:Ailuropoda melanoleuca scaffold8768_3, whole genome shotgun sequence.